AUGCACGUUACCGUACACACACACACACACACACGGUGAGCUGGGUACUCGGUUUACCAACCUUGGAAGGAUGGAAGCCUGAAUCAACCUCAAACUAGCUAUCUGAAUCUGCUGGGAUUGAAUGCAACUCGUGAGUAGUUUUGACUGCAACACUGCAGUUUAAUCAUUGCACCAUGAGGCUGUAGAACGAGUGGGAUACAACAUUGCUUGACUUUGUGCCCAUUACUGCAGAUGUUUAGAAAGUACAUUUGCAUUGGCUCAAAAAUAUAUCCUUUUGUAUAUGACUCUGACUUGACUGCAAGUUUUUUUAGGCAUAAUUUCUUUGCAAUUUCCCUAACAUGAAGUGGUCGUCAGUCAAAUACAUUUGGCAAAGGCAGCUCUAUCCCAUGGAAGGUUCUGUCACAGUAAAGGUCUUUAAAGUUCCAGGGAGAUACCUGAACUUGAUGGAAGCAGAAGUACUUGCCUCAACCAGCCUCCACAAAAUGCUAAUAAAAGUUUUCCCUUGCUUUUUAAAAUAUCAGGAGUGUGUUUAAACCCCUGUAUAAGAAAUCAAUACCUUUGCAUUUAGGAUGUGAAGAUCCUGCAAGUGAUCGAUACAUUACCCUGGCUGAAAUGGCCUCAAACUCCAACAUGGGAACAGUAAAUUAAGUUAAGAUAUUCUCAACUAUUUCACAACCUCUCCAUGAGCUACCUGAAGAUGACUGGCAGAUUAUCAGUAGUCUACAAAAAUAGUUUAAGAACCUCUAACUAAUUGCAAAGCCUAUCAUAUUCAGCAAGACAGAAUCCAUACCAUAGCCUGCACCAAAGGCCGUAUGUGUGUGUGUGUGUGUGUCUGUGUCUGUGUGUUAAAAUGUAAAGGAAUAAGAGGUGUUCUUGAUAGCUCAUUAAAAGCUACACCAUCUCCAGUCCAGGAUGAUCUGUG
rnacentral:lncRNA from 1 species